AUUGAACGCUGGCGGCAGGCCUAACACAUGCAAGUCGAACGAGUGGCGGACGGGUGAGUAAUGUCUGGGAAACUGCCUGAUGGAGGGGGAUAACUACUGGAAACGGUAGCUAAUACCGCAUACCAUCGGAUGUGCCCAGAUGGGAUUAGCUAGUAGGUGGGGUAACGGCUCACCUAGGCGACGAUCCCUAGCUGGUCUGAGAGGAUGGCCAGCCACACGGGAACUGAGACACGGUCCAGACUCCUACGGGAGGCAGCAGUGGGGAAUAUUGGACAAUGGGCGAAAGCCUGAUGCAGCAAUGCCGCGUGUAUGAAGAAGGCCUUCGGGUUGUAAAGUACUUUCGGCGGGGAGGCGGUACCCACACAGGAAGCACCGGCUAACUCCGUGCCAGCAGCCGCGGUAAUUC
rnacentral:rRNA from 1 species